rnacentral:miRNA from 2 species
AGUGCUGUGAGUUGAGGAACU